UAACAAACUCCGACAAUUCAGAACAAAUGCUAACACUCAAUGGUGGCCCUCGGAGUGUAUCGACCUCGUCAAAUCCUCUUAUAGUCUGACGUGCGAGCGAUCAUUAUAGCAGGGAGACCCAGGCAAUCUUACCACCGCGAACCUUUAACUGGGAUUUGUGAAGUCCUAUAAGAUUUAUUAUACGCUGUUUAUGAGACGAUUGUACGAGACAACUUAUUCAGAAGUUGCGAAAUUUUGUUUGAAAGAUUUUGAAGAGUUCUCAACGAUUCUGAGGUGAACACCAGGUCCCAAUGUCGACAGCGGAUGUUAAAGAAGACAAGGAGGAUCUUUCCGAACAGCAGGAAGUGAAUAUGAAACAGGAAGAGGAAGUUGAUUAUCAAAAAGAGGAUCCGCCCAGAAUGGAAGUGCCACAAUGUGACAAAGUCAAAAUAGCUCUGCAGACACGUGAACGUUUCAUGAGCAGUAAACGCUACCAGCGGUCUGGUUUUACGCAUUUGAUUUAAAAGUAGAAUUUAAGAAAGUGAUAGGCGGACAUGAAAUGACGAAGCAAUAACCUACGCAAAUCAAAAUACUGACAUUGGGGUGUUCGAAAGGAAUUUUUCGCUAUAUGACUUGUUUCUCUUAAUACUUGAACAAGCAAUCGUAAAUUCCAAAUUUUCACCACAUGUUGAAUAUUUUGAAACACAUAUUUGUUACAUUUGUUAAUAUUGUUAUGAUCGGGCAAUAAAACGAUGCAUUUUCAACGCA